rnacentral:rRNA from 1 species
UACGUAGGGUGCAAGCGUUGUCCGGAAUUAUUGGGCGUAAAGAGCUCGUAGGCGGUCUGUCGCGUCGGAUGUGAAAGCUCGAGGCUUAACCUCGGGUCUGCAUCCGAUACGGGCAGACUAGAGGCAGGUAGGGGAGAACGGAAUUCCCGGUGUAGCGGUGAAAUGCGCAGAUAUCGGGAGGAACACCGGUGGCGAAGGCGGUUCUCUGGGCCUGUACUGACGCUGAGGAGCGAAAGCGUGGGGAGCGAACAGG